AACGAACGCUGGCGGCAUGCCUAACACAUGCAAGUCGAACGAGACCUUCGGGUCUAGUGGCGCACGGGUGCGUAACGCGUGGGAACCUGCCCUUAGGUUCGGGAUAACUCCCCGAAAGGGGUGCUAAUACCGGAUAAUGUCUUCGGACCAAAGAUUUAUCGCCUUUGGAUGGGCCCGCGUUGGAUUAGCUAGUUGGUAGGGUAAAAGCCUACCAAGGCGACGAUCCUUAGCUGGUCUGAGAGGAUGAUCAGCCACACUGGGACUGAGACACGGCCCAGACUCCUACGGGAGGCAGCAGUGGGGAAUAUUGGACAAUGGGCGAAAGCCUGAUCCAGCAAUGCCGCGUGAGUGAUGAAGGCCUUAGGGUUGUAAAGCUCUUUUACCCGGGAUGAUAAUGACAGUACCGGGAGAAUAAGCUCCGGCUAACUCCGUG
rnacentral:rRNA from 1 species